rnacentral:rRNA from 1 species
CCUGCUCAAUGCUCAUUAAAUAGCCGCUAUAAGUGCUAAGGUAGCAUAAUAAAUUGCUCUUUAAUUAAGAGAUAGAAUGAAAGAGAACACGAUUUAUUAAUUGUAUCAAAAUAUUAACAUUAAACUAGCAAACUGUCAAAACCCAAUUAACUAAAAGAAGGACGACAAGACCCCACUGAACUUUAUACACUAUUACACUGGGAAGGCUUAAAACAACAUCUUUUAUUUUCACUAAAUUUACGCUACCAAAAAGAAUUAAAACAAGUUACCAUGGGGAUAACAGCAUAAUAAUUUCAUAAAGCCCUCAUAAAACAAAUUGAUUAUGACCUCGAUGUUGAAUUUAGCAUACCUACUAUUAGAAAAACCCUAAUAAGGAAGUCUGUUCGACUUUAAAACUGCCACAU